rnacentral:lncRNA from 1 species
AUUUGGAGACUCUGAUUUACUCCAGUUAGAUAUUUAUACGUAAGCUCUUCAAAGGCACGGUGCUCUUAAAAAAUACCUGUGGUGCUGGUACUCACACUAGUACUUGAUUUGGAUGGAUAUUCUAGUUUAAAAAAUUUUUAGACUAAAGUAUUUUGCAGAGCAGUUUAUCCAAAUAUUUGGUAAACUUAUUUUAUAUUCCUAUGUUAGUUUUCUCAAAUAUGCAGUUAUUCUAUAUGCUGAAGUAAGGAUAAGGGAUAGAGUUGAGUUCUACCUUCAGAGAAUAUGAAAUACUGCAAAUAUUGGUUACCACACUUGACCAUUUUUCGGCAGAGUUGUUAGUACUUUUUGAGGAUGUUUAGAAGAAAAUCUCACCUAUACUUUUAGUUUCAAAAAUGGCAAAAAAGAGAUUGUCAGCCAGCCAUUGCUGACAUUUUAAUGGCUUAUAUGAUUAAGGAGAGUGAAAUAAGACUAAUAUUUUUUCACUUUAGAGUUCAUAAUUAGGCAAGUUGAAUUAAGUUUAAAAAAUUAGUUUGAAGUUGAAAGUGAUUUUUGACAACACAAGAUUGUUCUCUUUAAAAAUUUUAAAUGCUGUCAGCCUUUUAAUUAAGCUAAAAAUGUGUUUACUUUGCGAUUAUUACCCUUUGAUCCUAGUAUUUAGUGUCCAAAUUAGUCUUUUGAAAGGCAUGCUCUUUUCAAACCAGACCAGUGAUAGAUGAUGCAUGCCGG